CAGGACGUAGUUCAAAUCAGCAGAACAGUUCCCUUACACUGAGAAAGUACCCGUGCGAAUCGAGUCGCCCUGA
rnacentral:tRNA from 1 species